rnacentral:rRNA from 1 species
AGAGUUUGAUCCUGGCUCAGAGCGAACGCUGGCGGCAGGCCUAACACAUGCAAGUCGAACGAACUCUUCGGAGUUAGUGGCGGACGGGUGAGUAACACGUGGGAACGUGCCUUUAGGUUCGGAAUAACUCAGGGAAACUUGUGCUAAUACCGAAUGUGCCCUUCGGGGGAAAGAUUUAUCGCCUUUAGAGCGGCCCGCGUCUGAUUAGCUAGUUGGUGAGGUAAAGGCUCACCAAGGCGACGAUCAGUAGCUGGUCUGAGAGGAUGACCAGCCACAUUGGGACUGAGACACGGCCCAAACUCCUACGGGAGGCAGCAGUGGGGAAUCUUGCGCAAUGGGCGAAAGCCUGACGCAGCCAUGCCGCGUGAAUGAUGAAGGUCUUAGGAUUGUAAAAUUCUUUCACCGGGGACGAUAAUGACGGUACCCGGAGAAGAAGCCCCGGCUAACUUCGUGCCAGCAGCCGCGGUAAUACGAAGGGGGCUAGCGUUGCUCGGAAUUACUGGGCGUAAAGGGAGCGUAGGCGGACAUUUAAGUCAGGGGUGAAAUCCCGGAGCUCAACUUCGGAACUGCCUUUGAUACUGGGUGUCUUGAGUGUGAUAGAGGUAUGUGGAACUCCGAGUGUAGAGGUGAAAUUCGUAGAUAUUCGGAAGAACACCAGUGGCGAAGGCGACAUACUGGAUCAUUACUGACGCUGAGGCUCGAAAGCGUGGGGAGCAAACAGGAUUAGAUACCCUGGUAGUCCACGCCGUAAACGAUGAUUGCUAGUUGUUGGGGUGUUUACACCUCGGUGACGCAGCUAACGCAUUAAGCAAUCCGCCUGGGGAGUACGGUCGCAAGAUUAAAACUCAAAUGAAUUGACG